UUUAUGGAGAGUUUGAUCCUGGCUCAGGAUGAACGCUGGCGGUGUGCCUAAUACAUGCAAGUCGAGCGGUAACGGGUUUCUCACUAAGGUUCGGAACCAUUUAGCAGAUUAAUGAUAACCUGAUAAAUGGCAUUCAGAAUUUUUGUGAGGAAUGCCGACGAGCGGCGGACGGCUGAGUAACGCGUGGGAACGUGCCCCAAAGUGAGGGAUAACGCACCGAAAGGUGUGCUAAUACCGCAUAUGGUCUUCGGA
rnacentral:rRNA from 1 species